rnacentral:rRNA from 1 species
GACGAACGCUGGCGGCGUGCUUAACACAUGCAAGUCGAACGGAAAGGCCCUGCUUUUGUGGGGUGCUCGAGUGGCGAACGGGUGAGUAACACGUGAGUAACCUGCCCUUGACUUUGGGAUAACUUCAGGAAACUGGGGCUAAUACCGGAUAGGAGCUCCUGCUGCAUGGUGGGGGUUGGAAAGUUUCGGCGGUUGGGGAUGGACUCGCGGCUUAUCAGCUUGUUGGUGGGGUAGUGGCUUACCAAGGCUUUGACGGGUAGCCGGCCUGAGAGGGUGACCGGCCACAUUGGGACUGAGAUACGACCCAGACUCCUACGGGAUGCAGCAGUGGGGAAUAUUGCACAAUGGGCGGAAGCCUGAUGCAGCAACGCCGCGUGCGGGAUGACGGCCUUCGGGUUGUAAACCGCUUUCGCCUGUGACGAAGCGUGAGUGACGGUAAUGGGUAAAGGAGCACCGGCUAACUACGUG